GGGAGAAGGCACGCUGACACGUAGGUGAAGCGGUUUACCCGUGGAGCUGAAGUCAGUCGAAGAUACCAGCUGGCUGCAACUGUUUAUUAAAAACACAGCACUGUGCAAACACGAAAGUGGACGUAUACGGUGUGACGCCUGCCCGGUGCCGGAAGGUUAAUUGAUGGGGUCAGCGCAAGCGAAGCUCCUGAUCGAAGCCCCGGUAAACGGCGGCCGUAACUAUAACGGUCCUAAGGUAGCGAAAUUCCUUGUCGGGUAAGUUCCGACCUGCACGAAUGGCGUAAUGAUGGCCAGGCUGUCUCCACCCGGGACUCAGUGAAAUUGAACUCGCUGUGAAGAUGCAGUGUACCCGCGGCAAGACGGAAAGACCCCGUGAACCUUUACUAUAGCUUGACACUGAACACUGGUCCUUGAUGUGCAGGAUAGGUGGGAGGCUUUGAAGUGUGGACGCCAGUCUGCAUGGAGCCGUCCUUGAAAUACCACCCUUUAAUGGCUGGUGUUCUAACGUAGACCCGUGAACCGGGUUGCGGACAGUGUCUGGUGGGUAGUUUGACUGGGGCGGUCUCCUCCUAAAGCGUAACGGAGGAGCACGAAGGUUGGCUAAUCCUGGUCGGACAUCAGGAGGUUAGUGCAAUGGCAUAAGCCAGCUUGACUGCGAGCGUGACGGCGCGAGCAGGUGCGAAAGCAGGUCAUAGUGAUCCGGUGGUUCUGAAUGGAAGGGCCAUCGCUCAACGGAUAAAAGGUACUCCGGGGAUAACAGGCUGAUACCGCCCAAGAGUUCAUAUCGACGGCGGUGUUUGGCACCUCGAUGUCGGCUCAUCACAUCCUGGGGCUGAAGUAGGUCCCAAGGGUAUGGCUGUUCGCCAUUUAAAGUGGUACGCGAGCUGGGUUUAGAACGUCGUGAGACAGUUCGGUCCCUAUCUGCCGUGGGCGCUGGAGAACUGAGGGGGGCUGCUCCUAGUACGAGAGGACCGGAGUGGACGCAUCACUGGUGUUCGGGUUGUCAUGCCAAUGGCACUGCCCGGUAGCUAAAUGCGGAAGAGAUAAGUGCUGAAAGCAUCUAAGCACGAAACUUGCCCCGAGAUGAGUUCUCCCUGAGACUACAAGUCUCCUGAAGGAACGUUGAAGACGACGACGUUGAUAGGCCGGGUGUGUAAGCGCAGCGAUGCGUUGAGCUAACCGGUACUAAUGAACCGUGAGGCUUAACCUUACA
rnacentral:rRNA from 1 species